rnacentral:rRNA from 1 species
GAUGAACGCUGGCGGCGUGCCUAAUACAUGCAAGUCGAGCGAACAGACGAGGAGCUUGCUCCUCUGACGUUAGCGGCGGACGGGUGAGUAACACGUGGAUAACCUACCUAUAAGACUGGGAUAACUUCGGGAAACCGGAGCUAAUACCGGAUAAUAUAUUGAACCGCAUGGUUCAAUAGUGAAAGACGGUUUUGCUGUCACUUAUAGAUGGAUCCGCGCCGCAUUAGCUAGUUGGUAAGGUAACGGCUUACCAAGGCAACGAUGCGUAGCCGACCUGAGAGAGUGAUCGGCCACACUGGAACUGAGACACGGUCCAGACUCCUACGGGAGGCAGCAGUAGGGAAUCUUCCGCAAUGGGCGAAAGCCUGACGGAGCAACACCGCGUGAGUGAUGAAGGUUUUCGGAACGUAAAACUCUGUUAUUAGGGAAGAACAAAUGUGUAAGUAACUAUGCACGUCUUGACGGUACCUAAUCAGAAAGCCACGGCUAACUACGUG